GGAAGUAAAAGUCGUAACAUGGUUUCCGUAGGUGAACCUGCGGAAGGAUCAUUACAGAGUUCAUGCCCUCACGGGUAGAUCUCCCACCCGUGAAUAUUUAUACCUUAGUUGCUUUGGCAGGCCGUGGAAACACCAUGGGCUCCGGCUUAUGCGUGCCUGCCAGAGGAAACAAACUCUGUUUUUAGUGAUGUCUGAGUACUAUAUAAUAGUUAAAACUUUCAACAACGGAUCUCUUGGUUCUG
rnacentral:misc_RNA from 1 species